rnacentral:rRNA from 1 species
AUGUCAUCUAGGAGUAAUUCAAAGAGGCCCUCAGAUGACAAUGUUGCCUCUGACGGAGGACUCCGACGUCGAGAGUUUUAUCUGAAUGGACCUUCCCUGGACCGUGCCUCCAAGCGUAUCACGGAGGGUGUUCUGUCCCCUCCCAACUUGAAAAACUCACAUAAGAGCAAGGGGAGCCACCAGUUGCAUUCUGAGGCAUCAGGAAGUAACUCAAGAAAGGGUGAAAGCAAUCAUGGGAUACAUGUGUCAGCAGGGAAUGAUGAUUUGUCAACCACGCAGAAACCAAGGAAAGUGAAGCUCAAAAUUGGUGGAAUCAGUCGGACCAUACCGGCAAAACCAAACCCUGCCAUACCAGAUUCCAGGUCUUCAGCUGCAAAGCCUACACGGCCUGGAGAUUCAUCGCACCGGCAAAAGCAUGGUAAUCAGACUGAAGGUGCCAAAGAUUCAAAUAGGUUGCCCUCUUCUCAAGACAAGAAAACAAGAAAGCUGAGGAAAAUUGAAGAUACCUUGACUCCGGAACAACCUGCCAAAGUUCAGAGAGAAGCGUCUUCGGAUCCUGUCCGGAAGAGUAGAAGGAUUGCUAAGAAAUCCAACAUGGACAGUGAAUUAGAUGAGGAAUAUGGUUUAAGUACUCCUGAAAAUCAUGGAGCUUCUAAUGAUAAUGAGGGUCAUAUUCGUGAACCUAAAAACAAAGGAGGGAGUAACCCUAAGAAGAAUGCCUUGAAGAAAGACCGGAGCAGGAGCACAGUUUAUGAGGUUGAUAAUGAUUUUGUUACACCCCAAUCAAAUAGAGAUGGCAAGAAAAGGUCAAGAGAUUCUACUGAUGCUGAUGAGGAUAAUGCAGAAGAGGAGCUGGCCUCUGAUAAUGAGCUUGAAGCUGAAAACAAGAAGCAGAAAGCAGUCACUGAAUUGUCUGCCAGUGUUAAGAGUGAACCUCUCACAACGCGUCGCCGAGCCCUUCAAUCAUGGAUGGAUGGGAACAGCAACAGUACCAUUGAGUUCCCCGAUGGUUUACCAGCAGCUUCGUCAAGAAGCAAGAAGGAAAAGCUCUCUGAUGCUGAGAUGCUCGCGAAGAAGGCUGAGGCUGCUCAGCGCCGCAAGAUGCAAGUGGAGAAAGCCACUAAAGAAAGCGAGGCGGAAGCUAUAAGGAAAAUACUGGGCCUGGACACCGAGAAGAAGAAAGAAGAGAGGAAGCAGAAGGAGCGAGAGGAGAAGGAGAAGGCAGCCAGAGCGCAAGAACUCGCCAGGAGCUCCAUCCGGUGGGUCAUGGGGCCCACAGGCACGGUGGUCACGUUCCCUGAAGAAGUAGGCCUCCCCAGUAUCUUCAACUCCAAACCCUGCAGCUACCCUCCGCCGCGUGAGAAGUGCGCCGGACCGUCUUGCACGAACGCGUACCGGUACAGGGACUCGAAGCUGAAGCUCCCCCUCUGCAGCCUGGAGUGCUACAAAGCUGUCCGCGGGAGCGCUUGA